rnacentral:tRNA from 1 species
AUUUUUAUAGUUGAACUACAACAGGAGCUUUUCACGCUUCAGGCUUGGGUGAGACCCCCAAUAGAAAUA